UGAGCCGAAUGGAGAACUCUUUAACUGAGAACGCUUUUGUGUUGAUGUGAUCAAGAUCAUUGUCACCUUCCUCAUUAUACAUCACUCUACAGGUAGAGAACUUGUGCAACGAAUAGAGAGAAAAUCUACAAGGAAACAGGAAUCAGGGCUGAUGGAAUGAUGAAGAAGGAGAAGGCAACUCAACUCACAAGAUGUAAAGUUUUAUGGAGACACUGUGAGCAAAUGAGGACAAAGAGUGUAAGAGAAAGAGAGCCAGAGAGAGAGACAGAGACAGAGAUUCCAGAGAAAACCGAUCAACGACCCAAGGAAGACCACCCAGGGAGAAGAAGAAAACAUAAUGUAAUAUGGCUGGGGUGAGUGGAGGAACAGAAUUCAGAGAGAACUCCGCAAAGCCCAGAGACUUAAGGCCUUUAAAAGUCAAUUCCAUCUGACCGUGGAGACAUGUCUGGACUGAAAGCAAUAAAGAUAUUUAAGUGGGAGAUGGAACAGUAGACAAGAUGGUCUGAUAGUCGAAACCAGGGGCUGACCUCACAAGUGGCUCUUGGCUAUCGUGGCUCCCAGAUGUCACCGAGUAGGAUUGUCAACUCUUCUUGGAUUUGUGAUUCCCAGGCAGUUCUCUUCUCCAAGGCAGUUCUUGAAGGUAUC